rnacentral:rRNA from 1 species
CGGACGGGUGAGUAACGCGUGAGAAUCUGCCUCCAGGUCGGGGACAACAGCGGGAAACUGCUGCUAAUCCCGGAUAAGCCCUAGGGUAAAAGAUUUAUUGCCUGGAGAGGAGCUCGCGUCCGAUUAGCUAGAUGGUGAGGUAAGAGCUCACCAUGGCGACGAUCGGUAGCUGUUCUGAGGGGAAGAUCAGCCACACUGGGACUGAGACACGGCCCAGACUCCUACGGGAGGCAGCAGUGGGGAAUUUUCCGCAAUGGGCGAAAGCCUGACGGAGCAAGACCGCGUGCGGGAAGAAGGCCCUUGGGUCGUAAACCGCUUUUCUUAGGGAAGAAGCUCUGACGGUACCUAAGGAAUCAGCCUCGGCUAACUCCGUGCCAGCAGCCGCGGUAAUACGGAGGAGGCAAGCGUUAUCCGGAAUUAUUGGGCGUAAAGCGUCCGCAGGCGGCUUAUCAAGUCUGCUGUCAAAGACUGGGGCUCAACCCUGGGGAGGCAGUGGAAACUGAGAAGCUAGAGUGCAGUAGGGGUAGAGGGAAUUCCCAGUGUAGCGGUGAAAUGCGUAGAGAUUGGGAAGAACACCGGUGGCGAAAGCGCUCUACUGGGCUGUAACUGACGCUGAGGGACGAAAGCUAGGGGAGCGAAAGGGAUUAGAUACCCCUGUAGU